UACGUAGGGUGCAAGCGUUAAUCGGAAUUACUGGGCGUAAAGCGUGCGCAGGCGGUUGUGCAAGUCCGAUGUGAAAUCCCCGGGCUCAACCUGGGAAUGGCAUUUGGGACUGCAAGGCUCGAGUGCGGCAGAGGAGACUGGAAUUCCUGGUGUAGCAGUGAAAUGCGUAGAUAUCAGGAGGAAUACCGAUGGCGAAGGCAGGUCUCUGGGCUGACACUGACGCUCAUGCACGAAAGCGUGGGGAGCAAACAGG
rnacentral:rRNA from 1 species